rnacentral:rRNA from 1 species
UACGUAGGGUGCAAGCGUUAAUCGGAAUUACUGGGCGUAAAGCGUGCGCAGGCGGUUUUGUAAGUCUGUCGUGAAAUCCCCGGGCUCAACCUCGAGACGUCGGUUGAAACCGUUUGGCUAGAGUCCGGAAGAGGAGAGUGGAAUUCCUGGUGUAGCGGUGAAAUGCGCAGAUAUCAGGAAGAACACCCGUGGCUAAGGCGGCUCUCUAGUACGGUACUGACGCUGAGACGCGAAAGCGUGGGGAGCGAACAGG